rnacentral:miRNA from 1 species
UAUGCCACGCUUCUAGGCAAAGUCUUUGACCAUAUAUAGCGAUGGUCAAAGACUUUGCCUUGAAGCGUGGCAUAUAAAUAUG